rnacentral:sRNA from 1 species
AAGUCAAAGAUGACCGAUAAUGAGAUCUAGGAUGUAAACAAGAAAGAAGUGCUGCUUUUAUUGGUUACUCUAGUGGUAUAUUUGUUAUCGCAUUACUAUUGUUCUAUUAUUAAACUGGAUAUAUCCCUUUCGUUGAGGUUCGCCGGGCUCGCUGUUGGCCGAGUUACAGCACUAUGUUAAAUGUUUUCUUGGAGGUCAGAGUGUGCCGAUUUAAAUUAUGCCGACAGCUGAUUCCAGCGGUGUUUGAUUUUGAAACCAAUACGAUGCCAAUGCCCACUCAUUCUCAUCGUAUGGCCUCAAAACCAUCCAUUCGAAGUUUGUUUGUUAUCGGUUUUAAAGCCUUACCUACAAGAGUACAAAAGAGAGUUUGUGUUUUCUGUCAAGAACUUGAUACCAGCUCUUGAUGGCUAGAAAGGUUCUCACUACUUCGACUAAUAUAAUGUUUAAAGCUAAUAUCAGAGAUGACGCAGAAGGAAACACAAUAAAUAAUAAUAAUAAUUAUCUCCGACUCCGGACACAAAUUUGUAUUUGAAAUUGAUAUAUUGAUUUACAACUAGGCGUUAACCACCAACACUGAAAAUAAUUAAAAAGAAAUAUUCCGCGGACGUCGCCACUGAAAUCAAAUUGUGUGAUCCAGUCACGUGACCAGUUUUGUUUUUCUUUAUCACGUCUUUUUGUUUUGUUUUUAGUUUGGCGAAUCAUCACGUCAUGGGGAAGUGGACUAAACAGUCAUCAGACAUUGAAGUUCUGUCCAGGCUGAUGGAAAGUGGACCAGUGCUUUGGCCUGGAUGUUAUCAGACCACUAACCUGUGGAUCAAACUAGUUUGAACAAUUGACAUUUAGGGUAGGAGCAAGGGCAUCGUACUAAAAUAAAAGGUUCUCAAACUA